rnacentral:lncRNA from 1 species
UCUGUAUAUCUCACUGGCCAUGCGGAUGCAGUGUACAAAUGGAAAAAACCCUGCAGACCCUGAGAAGAAUAAAAGCAGGAGAGAGUCUGUGGUGGGUGAGAGAGGAGAAGUGCACCUUGAAGCAGGGGACGCCCUGCUGGCACUACCUAUCGCACCCACUGCUGCCGUGUUUCUUCUCUCUCCUUUCUGGUGGUUUGCCACCUUACAAGGGUCAGUAAGUAAUAAUAGAUUAGCUUAGGGAGUUUCUGAUUCCUGCUGUGUAUGUUCAUUGGAACUCAUUCCUUUUAAUGGGUUUAACAGUUGACUUCUUGUUAUUAUGCUGUUUGCCUUGUAUCUUUUCUUAUGUUUAGUGUGUUGUCAAUCGAGGUUCUGACUAUUAUUUUAUAGAAUGGUUAAAGAUUGAUAAGGAACUUAAGACUGCUUUUCACAAAGAGCAUCGGUCUCUCAAAAUCCUUGACAGCACCUGUUCUGACGAGGUGCAGUUGUGGAGCGUGACUGCUAGGAUUUUUGCCUCAUUCCUAGCCCCAGGAGUUGCUGCCGCCCAAGCCUUGAAACAGAUCGAACGUCUAGCGUGUUGGACUGUUAAACAGAGCAAUCAUACUUCAGAGAUCCUCGAAGAAAUGUUAGAAGAUAUGAACAGCCUUCGUCAUGCUGUGCUCCAGAAUCGAGCCGCUAUAGACUUUCUUUUACUUGCUCAAGGGCAUGGCUGUAAAGAAUUUGAUGGAAUGUGUUGUUUUAAUCUUUCUGAUCAUAGCGAAUCGAUUCAAAAAACAAAUUCAUUGGUUGCUUAAUCACACUUGAUCUAUUACUAAAGAUCAUAAUCCUAUUGAUGAUUGGCUGCGUUCUGUGUUUCCAGGUCUUACUCCUUGGAUAUAUGAUAUUAUUAAGGAAGGUUUCAAAUGGAUCUUAAUCAUUAUUCUACUUGUGAUAGUUGCUAGAAUAUUGUAUAGUUGUCUGCUGCGUGCUACUGCGCCAAAAGCUGCACUUGUUGUGACUGACAACAAGGAUUCGGACAUCAUUCGUGAUUGGCUACAAGAUCAAGGGGGGCACAAUCCUAAGGAUUGUUUUGCCUUACAGCCCUAAAAGAAAAAGGGGGGAAUUGUUGGAGGGCAGGUUGCUUGGCAGCACGUAGCUACUGAUUUACUAAUGAUUUACGAUGUAAUCUUAGAUGAAAGGAGCAAGUUAUACUUGCAUGGAAUGUGGUGUUUCUAGUAGAGUUCUGUNAAUCUGAGGAGAAACAAACUAAUUUACUAAAUAAAAUAUCAGAAUGCAAAACA